UGCGAUUGAGCCAUUGAGCGACGGGCAGGGUUAACUUGACUUUUUCUCCUGCCUUGGGGGGGGGGGGGGGGGGGGGAUGUGGAUUCUUUUAAGAAUGUGGAUAUUUGGGUCAUCUUUGGCGCCCCCUAGAACCUAAACCGUGGGGUGCAGCGUCAUGAUUUGUACAACUUUUAAUGGCCAUGGGGUGUAGAUUGGCCUGAGCAAAUGUGGUGCCGGUGGAAUGAAUGCCUUCGGAGGAGUUAGCGAAAUUCCAAUGUGUGCAGAUCUGCAAAAAAUGCGAAAUAACCCUCUAACCGUACAUUUCACAGAUGCGCCCGCGCUGACUUUUUUGUAGACCGUAUUAAGAUACACAUGUGUGUCAAUUUUUGUGUCAUUUUGACAAAGCGUAUAGGCGUGACAGUCAACAAUGUGUUUUUUCACCUUAGGGGACAAGAAAAAAUUGACUUUUUUCUCCUGCCAUGGGGGGGCGCUCUUUUCGGGAGUAAAAAUUCCUUUACAAAUGUGUUGAUGGCUGGACAUUGCAUCAUCCUAGAAAACUUGGAGGCCAGUGAGGACAAAAAUAAAAAGUUAUAAGACUAUUAAGAAUGUGGAUUUUUGGGUUAUCUUUGGCGCCCCCUAGAACCUAAACCGUGGGGUGCAGCGUCAUGAUUUGAAUAACUUUAAAUGGCCAUGGGGUGUAGAUUGGCCUGAGCAAAUGUGGUGCCGGUGGAACGAAAGCCUUAGGAGGAGUUAGCCACAUUCCAAUGUGUGCGGAUCGGCA